rnacentral:rRNA from 1 species
CCAGAGAAUUUAGCAGAGAUGCUUUAGUGCCUUCGGGAACUCUGAGACAGGUGCUGCAUGGCUGUCGUCAGCUCGUGUUGUGAAAUGUUGGGUUAAGUCCCGCAACGAGCCGCAACCCUUAUCCUUUGUUGCCAGCACGUAAUGGUGGGAACUCAAAGGAGACUGCCGGUGAUAAACCGGAGGAAGGUGGAGAUGACGUCAAGUCAUCAUGGCCCUUACGAGUAGGGCUACACACGUGCUACAAUGGCGCAUACAAAGAGAAGCGACCUCGCGAGAGCAAGCGGACCUCAUAAAGUGCGUCGUAGUCCGGAUUGGAGUCUGCAACUCGACUCCAUGAAGUCGGAAUCGCUAGUAAUCGUAAAUCAGAAUGUUACGGUGAAUACGUUCCCGGGCCUUGUACACACCGCCCGUCACACCAUGGGAGUGGGUUGCAAAAGAAGUAGAUAGCUUAACCUUCGGGAGGGCGUUUACCACUUUGUGAUUCAUGACUGGGGUGAAGUCGUAACAAGGUAAGCGUAGUGCU